rnacentral:rRNA from 1 species
CGUGUAGGUGGGAUGUUAAGUCUGAUGUGAAAGUCCUCGGCUCAACUGAGGGAAUGCAUCUGAAACUAACAUUCUUGAGUGCAGGAGAGGAAAGCGGAAUUCCUAGUGUAGCGGUGAAAUGCGUAGAUAUUAGGAGGAACACCAGUGGCGAAGGCGGCUUUCUGGACUGUAACUGACACUGAGACGCGAAAGCGUGGGGAGCAAACAGGAUUAGAUACCCUGGUAGUCCACGCCGUAAACUAUGGAUACUAGGUGUAGGAGGUAUCGACCCCUUCUGUGCCGGCGUUAACACAAUAAGUAUCCCACCUGGGGAGUACGGCCGCAAGGUUGAA